rnacentral:rRNA from 1 species
UACGUAGGGUGCGAGCGUUGUCCGGAAUUAUUGGACGUAAAGGGCUCGUAGGCGGUUUGUCGCGUCUGCCGUGAAAGUCCGGGGCUCAACUCCGGAUCUGCGGUGGGUACGGGCAGACUAGAGUGAUGUAGGGGAGACUGGAAUUCCUGGUGUAGCGGUGAAAUGCGCAGAUAUCAGGAGGAACACCGAUGGCGAAGGCAGGUCUCUGGGCAUUAACUGACGCUGAGGAGCGAAAGCAUGGGGAGCGAACAGG